rnacentral:rRNA from 1 species
UGAUGAGUUUGAUCGUGGCUCAGGAUGAACGCUGGCGGCGUGCUUAACACAUGCAAGUCGAACGAUGAACCUCACUUGUGGGGGGAUUAGUGGCGAACGGGUGAGUAACACGUGAGUAACCUGCCCUUGACUCUGGGAUAAGCCUGGGAAACCGGGUCUAAUACUGGAUACGACCUUCCCGCGCAUGCGGUGUUGGUGGAAAGCUUUUGCGGUUUUGGAUGGACUCGCGGCCUAUCAGCUUGUUGGUGGGGUAAUGGCCUACCAAGGCGACGACGGGUAGCCGGCCUGAGAGGGUGACCGGCCACACUGGGACUGAGACACGGCCCAGACUCCUACGGGAGGCAGCAGUGGGGAAUAUUGCACAAUGGGCGCAAGCCUGAUGCAGCGACGCCGCGUGAGGGAUGAAGGCCUUCGGGUUGUAAACCUCUUUCAGUAGGGAAGAAGCUGGCCCUUGGGUUGG